rnacentral:rRNA from 1 species
GUGAGGAAUAUUGGUCAAUGGGCGAGAGCCUGAACCAGCCAAGUCGCGUGAAGGAAGAAGGAUCUAUGGUUCGUAAACUUCUUUUGCAGGGGAAUAAAGUGCGGGACGUGUCCUGUUUUGUAUGUACCCUGAGAAUAAGGAUCGGCUAACUCCGUGCCAGCAGCCGCGGUAAUACGGAGGAUCCGAGCGUUAUCCGGAUUUAUUGGGUUUAAAGGGUGCGUAGGUGGUUUGCUAAGUCAGCGGUGAAAGUUUGCAGCUUAACUGUAAAAAUGCCGUUGAAACUGUCGGACUUGAGUGUAAAUGAGGUAGGCGGAAUGCGUGGUGUAGCGGUGAAAUGCAUAGAUAUCACGCAGAACUCCGAUUGCGAAGGCAGCUUACUAAGCUACAACUGACACUGAAGCACGAAAGCGUGGGGAUCAAACAGGAUUAGAUACCCGUGUAGUCC